UACGGAGGGUGCAAGCGUUAUCCGGAUUCACUGGGUUUAAAGGGUGCGUAGGUGGGCAAGUAAGUCAGUGGUGAAAUCUCCGGGCUUAGCCCGGAAACUGCCAUUGAUACUAUUUGUCUUGAAUACUGUGGAGGUCAGCGGAAUAUGUCAUGUAGCGGUGAAAUGCUUAGAUAUGACAUAGAACACCAAUUGCGAAGGCAGCUGGCUACGCGAAUAUUGACACUGAUGCACGAAAGCGUGGGGAUCAAACAGG
rnacentral:rRNA from 1 species